rnacentral:rRNA from 1 species
UUUGAGGAUUUGAUCCUGGUCCAGGACGAACGCUAGCGACGUGCUUUAAGCAUGCAAGUAGAGCGAGCCCGCAAGGGCAAGCUGCGAACGGCUGAGUAGAAUUUGUGAUUUGUUACAAGUGAUUUUCUCGCGCAGAGUGCGAGAAAAGGAUGUAACUGUCCGCCGAAGAAGGGGCCUGCGGCCUAUCAGCUUGUUGGUGGGGUAACGGCCUACCAAGGCUACGACGGGUAGGGGGCGUGAGAGCGUGUUCCCCCAGAAUGGGACUGAGACACGGGAUGACGGCCUUCGGGUUGUAAACCACUUUUGCCAAAGAGUGAUUACUUUGGAGAAUAAGCACCGGCUAACUACGUGCCAGCAGCAGCGGUAAUACGUAGGGUGCAAGCGUUGUCCGAAUUUAUUGGGCGUAAAGAGUUCGUAGGCGUUUCCUUACAUCUUGUUUCAAAUACCGGAGCUCAACUUCGGGAAGGGGCAAGAGAUGGAGGAAAUUGGAGAGUGCUUGUUUAGGAUUUCGAAUUUGGGAUUUAGAGUUUCCACGCAAAAACGACACAUUUUUUGCGUGGUGAGUCCCGUAAGCUAACGCGUUAAGCGAGCCGCCUGGGGAGUACGAGCGCAAGCUUAAAACUCAAAGGAAUUGACGGGGACCCGCACAACCAGUGGAGCAU